rnacentral:lncRNA from 1 species
AGAUUCUUGCACCAGCCCUUCCUUCUAUAAACGAGAGCUACACGCCAGGAUUUUGUGGUUCCUACGUUCCAUGGAGUCAUGUCACGCCUCAUCAUGUUACCGACUUAUUGUAUGAUGGCAGCAUCGUCUCAGGUCUUUCGCUGCACAGGUUUGGCUUCAUUAAUCCGGGAGGCUACACAUUUGAAGUGCUUCCUCACACGGGGUGGUUCAUCCUUGUUGGAGUGCCAUUUCACCGCAGGACUCUCAGCCUAUGCAACCUGAAGCCGACGACGUUGGGCCUGCUGUUCACUGGGACGGGCUUGCGAGAUGGCUCUCGAGGCAUGCAGCGUUUU